rnacentral:ncRNA from 3 species
UCUGCCCAGUGCUCUGAA